rnacentral:rRNA from 1 species
UGGGGAAUAUUGCACAAUGGGCGCAAGCCUGAUGCAGCCAUGCCGCGUGUAUGAAGAAGGCCUUCGGGUUGUAAAGUACUUUCUGCGGGGAGGAAGGGAGUAAAGUUAAUACCUUUGCUCAUUGACGUUACCCGCAGAAGAAGCACCGGCUAACUCCGUGCCAGCAGCCGCGGUAAUACGGAGGGUGCAAGCGUUAAUCGGAAUUACUGGGCGUAAAGCGCACGCAGGCGGUUUGUUAAGUCAGAUGUGAAAUCCUCGGGCUCAACCUGGGAACUGCAUCUGAUACUGGCAAGCUUGAGUCUCGUAGAGGGGGGUAGAAUUCCAGGUGUAGCGGUGAAAUGCGUAGAGAUCUGGAGGAAUACCGGUGGCGAAGGCGGCCCCCUGGACGAAGACUGACGCUCAGGUGCGAAAGCGUGGGGAGCAAACAGG